GUAUCAGUACACGCCUUAACAAGGUGAAACCGCGAACGGCUCAUUAUAACAGCUAUAAUUUACUUGACCUUGACCAGUUACUUGGAUAACUGUGGUAAUUCUAGAGCUAAUACAUGCACCGAAGUUGUUCCUCACGGAGCAAUGCAUUUAUUUGAGCAAAACCAGGCGGCUUCGGCCGUUUCUGUUGAAUCAGAAUAACUAAGCUGAUCGCAUGGGCUUGUCCCGGCGACGUGUCUUUCAAGUGUCUGCCUUAUCAACUUUCGAUGGUAGUGUACGUGACUACCAUGGUGUUGACGGGUAACGGAGGAUAAGGGUUCGACUCCGGAGAAGGGGCCUGAGAAAUGGCCACUACGUCUAAGGAUGGCAGCAGGCGCGCAAAUUACCCACUCUCGGUUCGAGGAGGUAGUGACGAAAAAUAACAAGGCCGUUCUCUUUGAGGCCGGCCAUUGGAAUGGGUACAACUUAAACCCUUUAACGAGUAUCAAUGAGAGGGCAAGUCUGGUGCCAGCAGCCGCGGUAAUUCCAGCUCUCAAAAUGCAUAGAACCAUUGCUGCGGUUAAAAAGCUCGUAGUUGGAUCUGUGCCGGCGACGUGGUCCGCCCUAACGGGAGGUACUGCGCUCGUCGGCUUUGGGCCGGUUUUCGGUCGGUCGCCUUAACUGGCGGCCGCUCGUGGCUGGCUGGUUUACUUUGAGCAAAUCAGAGUGCUCAGCACAGGCGUCUCGCCGGAAUGUUCGUGCAUGGAAUAAUAGAAAAGGAUUUCGGUCCUCUUUUAUUGGUUUUGUGGACUGAGAUAAUGGUUAACAGAGACGGACGGGGGCAUUCGUAUUGCUGCGUGAGA
rnacentral:rRNA from 1 species